rnacentral:rRNA from 1 species
CCUACGUGAGGCAGCAGUGAGGAAUAUUGGUCAAUGGGCGCGAGCCUGAACCAGCCAAGUAGCGUGAAGGAUGACUGCCCUACGGGUUGUAAACUUCUUUUAUAAAGGAAUAAAGUGAGGCACGUGUGCCUUUUUGUAUGUACUUUAUGAAUAAGGAUCGGCUAACUCCGUGCCAGCAGCCGCGGUAAUACGGAGGAUCCGAGCGUUAUCCGGAUUUAUUGGGUGUAAAGGGAGCGUAGAUGGGUUGUUAAGUCAGUUGUGAAAGUUUGCGGCUCAACCGUAAAAUUGCAAUUGAUACUGGCAGUCUUGAGUACAGUUGAGGUAGGCGGAAUUCGUGGUGUAGCGGUGAAAUGCUUAGAUAUCACGAAGAACUCCGAUUGCGAAGGCAGCUUACUAAACUGCCACUGACAUUGAUGCUCGAAAGUGUGGGUAUCAAACAUGAUUAGAUACCCGAGUAGUC